UGGCUAAUUGCGCCUUAAUGCUUUUGUCGCGUUUAAACAAGGAUAAUGAUUUUGAAUGUAAGACUUGUAAUAAACAGUUUCCAUCUUUUCAGGCUCUUGGUGGACACCGUGCAAGUCAUAAUAAACGGUCAAGAUUACUAGGAGAGUUUCUUGUUCAAACCAACACAAAGAAUAAGAUGCAUAAAUGUUCUAUUUGUGGUAUGGAGUUUUCUUUGGGUCAAGCACUAGGCGGACACAUGAGGCGUCACCGUGAUAAAAUUAAUAAAAUUACACCUGAAAAGACUAUGAUUCCAAUUUUGAAGAAGUCAAAUAGCAGCAAGAGGAUUAAUAUUUUUGGGUUGAACUUAAACAUAACACCUGAUGAUGAUGAUGACAAUGUUGAUGAUUUGAAGUUAUGGCCCAUGGAAGAGGCUCCAUCGCCCGUCUUGCGAAUAUUUAUUUAAGUAAAAAAGCUUAUAAUUUGUUAUUAGCCUUUAAUUAGGAUUAGGAGAAUUAAUUAGCUACAUGCAGUUAUUUGUGGAAUUCUUUCUAUUCAUUUAGUCCAAAGGCAAAUUCAUAUAUAUAUAAACAUCAUAGUUGUCAGGGGUGUAUAAAAUCGAACCAAACCACAAAUCGAAUUUAACCGAACAAAAAACCUGACUAGUGGUUUGGUAUUGGAAAAAAAAACCCCGACUAUAUUUGAGUUGGUUUGGUUUUAACUAAAAAAAAUCAACCCGAGACCAAACCAACCCGGCAUUAUAUAUGUAAUUUUAAAAUUUUAUUUUAUACAUAAAAAUAUUUACAUUGAUAUAAUUAUAAAAUAUUUCUUAUACUAUUUCAUAGUUUUUAUCUUUCAUAUAUUAUUUCAAGUUUAAAACUUAGAAUUCGGAAUGGUCCAAUAAAGACUAUAGUUCAUAGAAAUCAAAAUCAAAUUAAUACUAAUGCAAAAAGAAAAUCAAUUCAACACUAAGAAUGACAAUAAUAUUGAAUAUUUGUUCUUUAGUUUUACAUUGGUUUAGACAAUUAAAAUACAUAAUCUAAUUUUAAUUUUCCUUAAAUAUUUAGUAAUGUAACUAAUACUUAUUAAACUUAUUUUAGCAUGAUUUAGUACUUUUAAAUUAUGAUCAUUUUCAUUAUGACUUGGAAAUAUUUAUUUAUAUGAUGAUUUCAUUAUUAUUUUGUAUUGAAUAUUUUAGUGUCAUCACUCAUCUCAUAUGUUGUGUUAUUUUCUUAAGAAACACCUUAAAUAAUUGUAUUUUGGUUGGACUAAAGAAAUAUUUGGAGCACAAGUUAAUUAUAUGUUUGUAUGCAAACUUUACCGAAAAAAUCCAAAAAUCUGAAUAAAUCUAAGGUUUAUUAGUUUGGUUUGAUUUAUAAAUUAAAAAAUUCGACACAAUGGUUGGUAUUUGAAAAACCCAAACCAACCCGAAGGUUGAAAAACCCGAAAAAAUCCAAAUUUUAUUAGUUUGGUUUGGUUUAUAAAUUUAAAUUUUUUAUACAAAUAGUUUGGUUUGAUAUUUAGAAAAACCCGAACCAACCCUGCCAUGUACACCCCUAGUCAUAAUAAUCACAUUCUACCACUAACUAAUUUAAUGAGAACAAAGAAAACAUUAUAUGCCAUCAACAUGUCAAGCCAAAUGCUACACAAUUUGAGAGGAUUGUAACAUAUUGUGAUGACUUAAUAUUAUAUUAAUUAUAAUAUUAAAAUGUAAAGGCACCAACAAAAAAUAUUUACACUUAAAAAGUAAAUUGCCUUUUUUCACCAAAACCACUUAAUUAUGUUUUCUAACAUAAAACCCUCAAACUUUACUUUUACUAAUACACGUCAGAAAAUUCAACUUAUGGGUAAUACUUUUUUUCUUUUGUAUUUUUAAUAUAAUAAAUACAAAUAAUUUUACGAACGGAUUAAUUGUUACUACUACUUGCAUCCAAAGUAAUAAUUUUGUCAUAAUCUUUCUAAAUUCAUUCACGUUUUUAGUAUUUUAAUUUUUGCGCUUGAAUUUUGAUUGGAUCGGUUCUAUUUAAUUGGAUUAGUAUUUAUACGACUAAAAAUAAAAUAAAGAAGUAGUAAAAGAUUAGUAUCGGUCGAGUCGAUUGUUUAAAAUUAAAUUCAUAUUUAUUAAAUAAAAAUAAAAAAUAUCAUAAAGAGUUUCCAUAGGAAGUUGAAUUUUCCGUCAUGUGUGAUUUUUGUGUUAGUUGGGACAAUGUCUUAUAAUUUUUGUGUUUGAAAACAUAAUUAAGUGAUUUUGGUGGGGAAAAAAUCAUAAUUAUAUGACCAUUAAUGAAGUUUAUCCCUACUUUUAAUUAAUUAAAAGUUUAGAAUUUAAACUCUAAAAGUUAAAGAAAUUAUAUCCUAAUUUUUUUCUUCAAUAUAUAGAUUUUACACGGCAUGAAUCUGAAUUAAUUUCUUUACGUUCAAAACAAUCUCAUGAAAACCAGAAUACAAAUAAAAAGUUAGUUGCAUCAUAUAUCCAACCGCCAAACAAAAUUUGACUCCCUCACAAUUUAUGUCAUUUUCCUUCAUGAAUCUUUGACUCCUACAAAACGAUUUGUGAAAGUAAUACUAGUAGCACUAAACCAUGUUGCCUUGUUUUUUUUCUUCCAACUUGUUUACAAACACAUUGCUCUCAUAACCCUCACCAACCAAGAAACUAAUAUUCGUUUCGUCCCAUUUUAGGUGACAUCGUCUUAUUUGACAUAAUAUUUAAUAUAUAUAUAUAUUUUUUUAUUUUAUUUUUUUAUUAUUUUUUUUAGACUUGUAGUUUAAAACAAAUUUUCCGUUUUUGCGUUGUUGUAAAUCAUUUCAUUAAAGGUACAAAUAAGUUAAAUUAUUUCGAGCUAUAAUAAGAUAACAUUCUUUUCAAAACAGAUUAAAAAGAAAUAACAUAAAUAGGAAUAGUUUAUUGUGAAGUAUAAAGUGUAACAAUUUUAGGAUAAAAUAUAGGAUUACUUUAUCCCAUGUUUGAUUGAAAGUAUUAGGUAUUAUUUAUCCCAUCAUUUUAGUCAUAAUAAUUGAAUAAGUAAUAUACAUGACCGAAUAACUUGUUCCAAUCAAACGACCCUAAUAGUAAUAUAAAGUUAGUCUUAAAAAAGCACAUUGUCCUUUUCACGACGCUACGUAUGCACGUGUUUUUCUUUUUUCAACCCUUUAUGUCAUUUUCCUUCAUGAAUCUUUGACUCCUACAAAACGAUUUGUGAAAGUAAUACUAGUAGCACUAAACCAUGUUGCCUUGUUUUUUCUCUUCCAACUUGUUUACAAACACAUUGCUCUCAUAACCCUCACCAACCAAGAAACUAAUAUUCGUUUCGUCCCAUUUUAUGUGACAUCGUCUUAUUUGACAUAAUAUUUAAUAUAUAUAUAUUUAUUUAUUUUUUUAUUUUUUUAUUUUUUUUAAACUUGUAGUUUAAAACAAAUUUUCCGUAUUUGCGUUGUUGUAAAUCAUUUCAUUAAAGGUACAAAUAAGUUAAAUUAUUUCGAGCUAUAAUAAGAUAACAUUCUUUUCAAAACAGAUUAAAAAGAAAUAACAUAAAUAGGAAUAGUUUAUUGUGAGGUAUAAAGUGUAACAAUUUUAGGAUAAAAUAUAGGAUUACUUUAUCCCAUGUUUAAUUGAAAGUAUUAGUUAUUAUUUAUCCCAUCAUUUUAGUCAUAAUAAUUGAAUAAGUAAUAUACAUGACGGAAUAACUUGUUCCAAUCAAACGACCCUAAUAGUGAUAUAAAAUUAGUCUUAAAAAAGCACAUUGUCCUUUUCACGACGCUACGUAUGCACGUGUUUUUCUUUUUUCAACCCUUUAUUUGGUCAACCAUACACAUAUGAAGGCAGUUGGAAGUGUUCUAGAAACCUCAAAGAAGCCAACAUUAUUUUACUUUUCUUUGACUCACUUAACCAACAAGGAAAAUUCAGACACACGCAAAAAAGUCAAGACACAAACUUAUAUAUAUGUGAGGCAACACCAUCCAAAGUGUAUCAUAUUCUUAAACUUCUAAAUUCAAAUCUUUCUUUCAAACUUCUAAAUUUGAUAAUACAAUUUGUAAAAAUCUUCAAUAAUAUGACAUCUAUGAAAAGAAGCAGAGAAGACAAUAUGCAAGUUGAAGUAGAGGCCAUGGCUAAUUGCACCUUAAUGCUUUUGUCUCGUUUCAACAACACUUCUUCAUCAUCAGAUCAUCAUCACAUUAAUGAUUUUGAAUGCAAGACUUGCAAUAAACGCUUCCCGUCUUUUCAAGCUUUAGGCGGUCAUCGUGCAAGCCAUAAUAAAAAGCCAAGAUUACUCGGAGAGUUUCUUGUUCAAACCAACAAAAAGAAUAAGAUGCAUAAAUGCUCUAUUUGUGGUGUGGAGUUUUCUUUGGGUCAAGCCUUAGGAGGGCACAUGAGGCGUCAUCGCGAUGAAAUUAAUAAAACGUCGAGGAUGAUACCAGUGUUGACGAAGUCGAAUAGCAGCAAGAGGAUAUUUUGUCUGGACUUAAACUUAACCCCUCGUAAUGAUAAUGUUGAUUUCAAGUUAUGGCCGACCGCACCAAUUGCAUCUCCUGUUUUGAGAAUCUUUAUUUAAUUUGUUCAUUUUAGACAUUUUGCAUUCAUUUUUGUUGUAUAUAAUCCUUAAUUAGUUCGUUCAUUCCUUUACUUCAGUAACGUAAUAAAGUUUGAUUCAAUUAAAGUUUUGCAAAAUAAUUCUCACAAGUCAUAUCACCAAAAUAUAUAAUAAUGGACUAAUCCACACGAAAAUUGAAAAAAUUGCCUAAUUCAUAUAAAUUGAUCCCUAGAUGUCCAAAAAUGACUAUAAAAAUGAUGAUUACUACUCCCUCAAAAGGUUUUGCGAAAAUUAUCCGAAAGUCAUAUCACUAAAAUAUUCAUGGGCUAACACAUCGAAAAAUUGAGAAAAUCGCCUAAUUCCUCUAAAUUAGCCCCUAAAUUCCUAAAAAUCACUCUAAAAAUGGAGAAAUUGUAUGUACUGCUCCCCCAACUCCUUAUAGAUAGAGGGUUCCAUAAAGGUUUCAUAAAAAAAAUUCGGGAGGCCAUAUCACCAAUAUAUUCAUGAGCUAACACACACGAAAAACUUCGCUUAAUUCCUAUAAAUUGGCCCUAAAUGCCCAAAAAUCACUCUAAAAAUGGUGAGAUUGUAUGUACUGCUCCCCUAACUCCAUAUAGAGGGUUCCGUAAAGGUUUCACAAAAAAUUAGUCUAGAAGUCAUAGUGAUAUGAAUUUUGGACGAUUUGUUUGUGAAACCUUUAUGGAACCCUCUGUAGGGAGUUGGGGGAGCAGUACAUACAAUCUCACCAUUUUCGGAGUCCAUUUUGGGUAUUUAGAGGGCAAUUUACAGGAAUUAGGUGAUUUUCUCAAUUUUUCGUGUAUGUUAACCUAGGAAUAUUUAGGUGAUAUGGCUUCCGCCCCGAGGGACAAACAGACACAUUUUCAAAUUCAAACGAGCCCCAAAACGAGAAAACCAAAUUUUCUCAUUUUUCGUGUGCUAUUGUCCAUGAAUUUUUGGUGAUACGGAAUCCUGGCUUGUUUUUGGCCGAAUUUUUUCAUGAAUUUUCAUUAUGACCUUAUUAAUGGUGUGAGUUGGUCCCGAGGGGGAAACAAACGCAUUUUCAAGUUCAAAUGAGCCCCAAAGCAGGAAAAACCAAAAUUUACUAUUUUUCAUGUCCUAUCGUCCAUGGAUUUUUGGUGAGACGGGAUCCUAACUUGUUUUUGGCCGAGCUUUUUCAUGGACGUCCGUUGCGACCUUAUAAAUGGCGUCGUGAAUUGGUCCCGAGGGGAAAAAGAAGCAUUUUCAAGUUCAAACGAGCCUCAAAGGGGGGAAAACCUAUUUUUACCUUUUUCGUGUGCUAUAGUCCAUUAUAAAUUUUUGGUGAUAUGGGAUCCUAGCUUGGUUUUGGCCAAAAAUUUUCAUGGACGUACGUUACGACUUUAUUAAUGACGUGAGUUGGUCCCGAGGGGCAAAUAGACGCAUUUUCAAGUUCAACGAGCCCCAAAGCGGGAAAAACCAAAUUUUAUCAUUUUUCGUGUGCAAUAGUCCAUGAAUUUUUGGUGAUACUGGAUCCCGACUUGUUUUUGACCAAAAUUUUUCAUGGACGUCUGUUACGAACUUAUUAAUGGUGUGAGUUGGUCCCAAGGGGAAAACUGAUGCAUUUUCAAGUUCAAAAUUUUACCAUUUUUCGUGUGCUAUAGUCCAUGGAUUUUUGUUGAUACGUGAUCCGACUCUUUUUUAGGCCGAAAUUUUUCAUGGAAGUCUAUUACGACCUUAUUAAUGGCGUGAGAUGGUCUUGAGGGGUAAACGGACGCAUUUUCAAGUUCAAACGAGCCCCAAAGCGGUAAAAACUGAUUUUUACCGUUUUUCUUGUGCUAUAUAGUCCAUGGAUUUUUGGUGAUGGGUGAUCCUGACUUGUUUUUGGCCGAAAUUUUUCAUAGAUGUCCGUUACGACCUUAUUUAUGGCGUGAGUUGGUCCCGAAGGCAAACAUAUGCAUUUUCAACUUCAAACGAGCCUCAAUGCGGGAAAUAUCGAAUUUACCAUUUUUUGUGUGCUAUAGUCCAUGCAUUUUUAGUGAUAGGUGAUCCCGACUUGUUUUUGGCCGAAAUUUUUCAUGGACGUCUGUUACGACCUUAUUAAUAGCAUGAGUUGGUCUCGAGGGGCAAACAGAUGCAUUUUCAAAUUCAAACGAGUCCCAAGGCGGGAAAGACCGAAUUUACCAAUUUUUCUGUGUUAUAGUCCAUGGGUUUUGGUGAUACGUGAUCCCUAAUUUUUUUGGCCAAAUUUUUUCAUGGACGUCCGUUACGAUCUUAUUAAUGGUGUGAAUUGGUCCCGAGGGGUAAACAGACCAUUUUCAAGUUCAAAUGAGCCUCAAUGCGGGAAAGACUGAAUGUACCAUUUUUCGUGUGCUAUAAUCCAUGAACUUUUGGUGAUACGUGAUCCUGACUUGUUUUUGGCUUUAAAAACCAAAUGUAAGUCUCCCUUACCUUUUAAUUUUUGACUUAAAAAUCAUUGAAGUUUGACUUUUUAUUUUUUGAUUAUUUUUAGUCAAUCCAAACGAGCUCUUAUUUAUGAAAGUAACAGGAGGACGACGAAAAGGAACAGCCCACACUUAUUGAGAAUGAGAUGAUGAUAUCAAAUUGUCUUUUUUUUUAUAUUGUAAAACUUAAAUAAUAUAUUUUUAAAAUAUAAUUAAAUACAAUAUAACAAAUAUCAUUGCGUUCGUCACCAUCACCAACCUAAAAAAAAGUACUAUUACACUGUUGCUGCUAGUUAAUUAGUGCUAAUUAAAGAAUUAGCACUAAACCAUGUUGGUUGGUCUUUUGGUUUCAACUUGUGUGUUCCAAGUCACUGCUUUAAUCACCAAGAAAGUACAAUUUAUCCUUUUCAAAUGGCUACGCCAUGUGUUUUCCGCAGCCCCUGAUAAUGUCAAUCUUAAUACGUCGUUUUAAAUUAGAUGUAAUAUUUUAUAUUUCAAAAUUUAAGUUAUUUGAAUAUGAAUUGAUAUUGUAAAGUAUAUUUGUAAAAGAAAACCCACAAUUUUAUAUCUAUCUACCAUUUAUUUCAUACGUAAAUAAAAUUUAUAGUUGAUAAUAAUUAUUACUCUUACCAAUCUUUAAAACCAUUUAUGUCGGAUAUAAUCAUUAUUCUCACCAACCAAAUUUAUAGUUGAUAUUAUUAUUCUUACCAACUUUUAAAUCAUUUAUAAUAUUGGAUAUAACCAUUACCCUCACCAACCAAAUUUAAAAUUGAUAUUAUUAUUCUUACAACUUUUUAAACCAUUUACAUUGAGAAAUGGAUGCUCAAUUGUCCAUACUAUGUAGGAGAAUUAUAUUAAAGAGUAGUACAUUACAAUCCAUGUUCAAUUUUUUUUUUAUUAAGUUAAAGUUCGAUUAAUAAAUAUUGUAUUUUAUUUUUAAUUUUUUUUUAUGAUAGCGCAUUUUAUUUUUAUUAUAAUUUUUUGUUUAUUUACUAAGAUUGUAUAAAAAAUCGAAACAUUUUCUUUAAAAUACAAAUAUCUCGAUUCUUUAUACAAUCUUAACAAAUGAAUAAUUUUCUUAUUCCUUAACCGGAAAAAUAUGUGGCCAUGACAUGUGAGUAGUAGAACGUCUGCUCCUACUUGGAAGUGUUCUAGAAAGCUCAUAGAAGGCAACAUUACAUUACUUUUCCGCUCACAUGAAAUGACCUGAAAUAUUCCUUAUCCACAUGAUUGACUAACGCGUUACUACCUUCAAAUCAAUUGAUUCCUUUUCCACUUGUAAAGUACUACUUUCGGCGUCUAUUUUUAUUUGUCCGUUAUAUUAUUUUGAGAUAUUUUAAUAAUAUUUAUUCAGUUUAUAAAAUUAAUGAAUUUAUGUUUAAUAAGGGUGAUUUGGUAAAUUAUUUCUGUCAUUUACCAUUUCUAAUUAAUUCGUGUUUAAAAUCAAAUAGUAGACAAUUAUUGUUGAAUAGAUAAAGUAUCUCUAGUAUUUCUUUGACUCACUUAACCUAAAAGUCAAACAUUAUUAAUUGUCACUAAUUAAUAAAGAAUAAUGUGAUGCACGUUUUUUUCAAAAACACGUCAACCUUGUCUUAUCUCAUACCUAUAUAAAUUUGAAGCAAAGAGCAACCAAAUGUGUAUCAUAUUCUUCACUUCAAACUUCAAACUUUCACACAUUUCUUCAAACUUCAAAAACAACUUUGUGUCUUCAUUCUUGAUAAUAUGAGUGCCUUAAAAAGAAGCAGAGGAGAGGAUGUGCUAGUGGAAGCAGAGGCCAUGGCUAACUGCGCCUUAAUGCUUUUGUCUCGUUUCAACACCAACAACUCAUCAGAUCAUCAUCAUAUUAAUGAUUUUGAAUGCAAGACUUGCAAUAAACGCUUCCCGUCUUUCCAAGCCUUAGGCGGUCAUCGUGCAAGUCAUAAUAAAAAGCCAAGAUUACUCGGAGAGUUUCUUGUUCAAACCAACAAAAAGAACAAGAUGCAUAAAUGCUCUAUUU
rnacentral:lncRNA from 1 species